rnacentral:rRNA from 1 species
GAUGAACGCUGGCGGCGUGCCUAAUACAUGCAAGUCGAGCGAACAGAUGAGGAGCUUGCUCCUCUGCCGUUAGCGGCGGACGGGUGAGUAACACGUGGAUCACCUACCUAUAAGACUGGGAUGACUUCGGGAAACAGGAGCUAAUACCGGCUCAUAUAUUGAACCGCAUGGUUCAAUAGUGCAAGACGGCUUUGCUGUCACUAAUAGAUGAUUCCGCGCCGGAUUAGCUAGUUGGUAAGGUAACGGCUUACCAAGGCGACGAUGCGUAGCCGACCUGAGAGGGUGAUCGGCCACACUGGAACUGAGACACGGUCCAGACUCCUACGGGAGGCAGCAGUAGGGAAUCUUCCGCAAUGGGCGAAAGCCUGACGGAGCAACGCCGCGUGAGUGAUGAAGGUCUUCGGAUCGUAAAACUCUGUUAUUAGGGAAGAACAAAUGUGUAAGUAACUAUGCACGUCUUGACGGUACCUAAUCAGAAAGCCACGGCUAACUACGUG